rnacentral:lncRNA from 1 species
AUGUGUCUGUGGUCCCAGAGAGUGGUCCCCUUCCAGGCAGAGGAGGAGUUCCCUGAGCGGUUAGGUCAAGCGGAUUCCCAGCACCUGUUCCAGUUCUUGCCUUCGCUGCUGCACCUUGGCAAAGAUGUGCUUCCCCACUGCUUCCUGGGCCCAGGGCUGGUGGUAGAAAGCAGCUCGUCUCUCCUCCCCAGGAUUCCCAAUCACAUCAGUGAUGAUCUUGAGGUCUCGGCGCUGAGAACAGAGCCAUUCCUGGAUGAAGUCCUGAGGGUCCGUGCUAAAGCUGAGCAUGAAAUCCCUCUGGGUCUUCAGCUGGUUGAUGGACUCAAUGGUCUCAUGGAUCUCGACAUCGAGGGAGGCAAUCUCCUGCUGAUUGGUGGUAGAGGCCAGAAAAUUGCUCAUCUGGGCCUUGAGUGGGUCAUCUACCUCCACAUCAAUGUCGUAGCAUGCUGUCUUCUUCUGGUUGUUAGGGUCUACGCUAAUGACAUGGUUGAUGACAAUGGGGUCUGGAUGCUGCAGCAACCCAGCCAGCUUCAUGGGAAUCUCAGAGAAACGAAGUCGGCCACAACUGAAGAUCUGGCGGAAGUAACGGUUGCAAUUGAUGUACUCGUGCUCGUGCCCGUCCUGCAGUUGGUUGUGUUUGAUAUAAAGCCAAAGAGCCUGCAUGAUGGCCGCCCUUGUCUGUGUGUGCACCCCCAGCAGCCUUGCCAGUCGGGGGUCCAACUUGUACUGGGGAGGAUCAUCCAGCAGUUUUCCCUCCACUCGGAGUUCCCAGGAAGCCACCUUGUCCCCUGCAGGGGUUCCCCCAGGGGGCCCCGCGGUGCCCGCAGUAUCGCCUUCUGCCUUGCUGGGACUGAACGUAUUGGAAGUAUAGAUGCGCAGCUUCCGUUUUUGCGUCAGAGGCUUUUUGAUGGCCAGAGAAUGGAUUUAAACGUGAGUCUGACUAGAGCCUGACCACUUAACCAUAUUGCUUGUUUUUUUUUUUUUUAAGUUUAAGCAAUAUUCUUUUACUAUAUAUAUUUACUGAUCUAAUACUAACAUUAACACACUGUAUUCACUGUAUU